UGCAAGUCGAGGGGCAGCACGGGUAGCAAUACCUGGUGGCGACCGGCGCAAGGGUGCGUAACGCGUGAGCAACAUGCCCUAUACAGGGGGAUAAACCAGGGAAACUUGGACUAAUACCCCAUAGCAUUUAUUUAUGGCAUCAUGAAUAAAUUAAAGCUUCGGUGGUAUAGGAUUGGCUCGCGUGACAUUAGCUAGAUGGUGAGGUAACGGCUCACCAUGGCGAUGAUGUCUAGGGGUUCUGAGAGGAAGGCCCCCCACACUGGGACUGAGACACGGCCCAGACUCCUACGGGAGGCAGCAGUGAGGAAUAUUGGACAAUGGAUGGAAAUCUGAUCCAGCCAUGCCGCGUGCAGGAAGACGGCCCUAUGGGUUGUAAACUGCUUUUAUACGGGAGCAAUAAGGUCUACGUGUAGACUGAUGAGAGUACCGUAUGAAUAAGCAUCGGCUAACUCCGUGCCAGCAGCCGCGGUAAUACGGAGGAUGCGAGCGUUAUCCGGAUUUAUUGGGUUUAAAGGGUGCGUAGGCGGCCUUGUAAGUCAGCGGUGAAAUUUUGCAGCUUAACUGUAAAAGUGCCGUUGAUACUGUGAGGCUAGGAUUUGGUUGCUGUGGGUGGAAUGUGUGGUGUAGCGGUGAAAUGCUUAGAGAUCACACAGAAUAUCGAUUGCGAAGGCAGCUCACAAAGCCAAGAUUGACGCUGAGGCACGAAAGUGUGGGGAUCAAACAGGAUUAGAUACCCUGGUAGUCCACACUGUAAACGAUGAUAACUCGCUGUCGGCGAUAUACAGUCGGUGGCCAAGCGAAAGCGAUAAGUUAUCCACCUGGGGAGUACGACCGCAAGGUUGAAACUCAAAGGAAUUGA
rnacentral:rRNA from 1 species